UUGCUUUCUUAGGAUGAGUAAGCAAUAGAAGACCUAUUGGUAUGAAUAAAAUAAUAUCUGUGAAUACACUUGACUCAAGUGAACCCAACAAAUGGAUUUUAAUUCUUGCCCUAGACCAGCAGUAGAAACUCAGCUGUAUAAAUGAUCAGUUUUAUAAUCAAUAGUUUGAAGAUUUUUACCGAAGGAAUUAACCAAGCUUUUAGGCAAUGUUUUUGCAGUUUAUUCAUCUUUAUCUGCAAAGUAAGAGGGAAAACACUGAUGUAUCUGGCCACGGUAGAUAAUGUCUACAGCCCUGAUUCCAAGAUGCAUAUCUAUUUUAUGUUUAAAAAUAAAUUUACCUCUAUAUUCUUAAUGGGAAAGCGUGUUCAAUUCUAAUGUCUGUUGGCUUACUAACAUAUCUAGAGCCUCCCAGAGAGGUGCAUUUCAAUGAGAUCCACCAUUUCAUAUUGACAUUAAGAACAUUAAGAACAAAGUUAUUUUUAGUUCUUUGAUCUGAAAGUGUUACCCAUGUAGGAUUGCUCAGUAUGUCAAGAGAGGGAAGUGGGAGGCGUUCUGGAAAGGUGUGGAUGUGCGAUAACCUAAUGCCAUCAGAUAAGAAGAUCCAAAUAGGAUUUUAGAACAAAUCCUUCCUCUGUGUUUCAAGCACUUAUUAGAACAAGUCACAAUGAUGUUUUCUUUGGCAGGCUUGUAGAGCAUUUAUCAGCCAGUGGGUUCUCCACUCUAAAAUUUAUGAUGCUUUGAGAGACUCACAAAAGCCUGUACUUAGAGCUUUAAAUAAAGUCAAAAUGAUAGUUUUCCUGCCCUAUGAAUUUUCAUUAUUGAAAUUAUUAAAGGAGCAGUAAACUUUCCUGCUUUUU
rnacentral:lncRNA from 1 species